rnacentral:rRNA from 1 species
CAUCAGUGUACUUGUACACUGAAAAGCGAGCGGCGGACGGGUGAGUAACACGUAGGUAACCUACCCAAAAGUUUGGGAUAACACGCGGAAACGUGUGCUAAUACCAAAUAGUCACUUAUCUCGCAUGAGAUAAGUGGGAAAGGCGGCGUAAGCUGUCGCUUCUGGAUGGACCUGCGGCGUAUUAGCUAGUUGGUGGGGUAAUGGCUCACCAAGGCAAUGAUACGUAGCCGACCUGAGAGGGUGAUCGGCCACAUUGGGACUGAGACACGGCCCAAACUCCUACGGGAGGCAGCAGUAGGGAAUCUUGCACAAUGGGGGAAACCCUGAUGCAGCAACGCCGCGUGAGUGAAGAAGGUUUUCGGAUUGUAAAGCUCUGUUAGCAGGGAAGAGGAAGGACGGUACCUGCAGAGGAAGCCACGGCUAACUACGUGCCAGCAGCCGCGGUAAUACGUAGGUGGCAAGCGUUGUUCGGAAUAACUGGGCGUAAAGGAUGCGUAGGCGGUUAAAUAAGUUAUAUGUUAAAUAUAUAGGCUUAACCUGUAGAAAGCAUAUAAAACUGUUUAACUAGAGUGCAGGAGAGGUAAGUGGAAUUCCUAGUGUAGCGGUGAAAUGCGUAGAGAUUAGGAAGAACACCAGUGGCGAAGGCGACUUACUGGACUGUAAC